UAUCUGUCACAAAAAUAUAUCAAUGGUAGGAAAGUAACAUUACAGUAUAGCAAGUUCUAAUGGUUCCAUUAUUUUCCAACGUAACAUAACAUAGACAAGCUACACAAUCACCUCUGCACUGGCUACAGUUGCUUUCUCAUAGCAGUUCGCACCCCAGUACAAAAAUCCUGUGCCACCCUCUUUCCACACACGCCACAUGACAGCCCGAUGUUGAGUGCCUCGCAUUCCAAGGUGCCAAUUUGGAUGAGGAUCUGCUGGUCCCAUACAGACAUAUGUCCAAAUCCUGUGCCACCCUCUUUCCACACACGCCACAUGACAGCCCGAUGUUGAGUGCCUCGCAUUCCAAGGUGCCAAUUUGGAUGAGGAUCUGCUGGUCCCAUACAGACAUAUGUCCACCAUUCCUGUGACAAAACCACCCGCCUCUAAUGAGCAAAUAAAACUAAGCACCAGCAUAAUAGUAAUAUACAUUCUACUGUGCAUCACUCUUCCGAUCAUGGAAAUUUUGCAUUUACUGAAUAAAUAUUCAGUGCAG
rnacentral:lncRNA from 1 species